UUAGAUCUGUGCUGGAGUCAGUCUCAGACUGGUCAUAGCACAGACAUGAAGGUCCCAACAAAGCUUCUUGUUUUGCAGCUGCUCUGGCUUAUAGGUGCCAGAUGUGACAUACAGAUGACCCAGUCUCCAGCCUCCCUUUCUGCAUCUCUGGGAGAAAUUGUCACCAUCACAUGCCAGUCAAGUAAAAGCAUUGGCUGGGCUUUAGCAUGGUAUCAGCAGAAACAUGGAAAACCUCUUAAACUCCUGAUCUAUGAUGGAAACAGCUUGGCAGAUGGGGUCUCUUCUCGGUUCAGUGGCAGUAGAUCUGACCAACAGUAUUCUCUCAAGAUCAAUAGCCUGCAGACUGAAGAUGUGGCAACUUAUUUCUGUCAACAGGGUUAUGAGUAUCCUCCCACAGUGAUACAAGCCAUAACACAAACCCACAAGGAAGCAGAAGCAUGUGGCAUGGCUGUACCAGCUGUUCCUCCAGGUGGACAACCCAUUGAAACUCUUUCUCUGGUGUUACAGUUUAUUGAGCAUAACUCAUGA